UACGUAGGCAGCAAGCGUUGUUCGGAAUUACUGGGCGUAAAGAGUGUGUAGGCGGUGCUCUAAGUUCGUUGUGAAAUCUCCCGGCUUAACUGGGAGGGUGCGGCGGAAACUGGAGUGCUUGAGCGCGGGAGAGGAAAGCGGAAUUCCUGGUGUAGCGGUGAAAUGCGUAGAUAUCAGGAGGAACACCUGUGGUGUAGACGGCUUUCUGGACCGUAGCUGACGCUGAGACGCGAAAGCGUGGGGAGCGAACCGG
rnacentral:rRNA from 1 species